UUGUGGGGGUAGCCCCCAAAAUGGGACAUAUAAAAAAAGACAACUCUGUUUCGCAGAGUAGCUGUUGACAUUAUAGUUGCGCAGGCAUUUUGACUCUAGAGAACCUCGGGCCAAUCGCACAUCCCGUGACUUUGCAUUUGGAUGUCAUCCAUAUCAACUUUUGAUGCCAGUUUCUGUGCCUACCAUGGUGACUACGGGUAACAGGGAAUCAGGGUUCCAUUCCGUACAGGGACCCUGAGAAAUGGCUACCACAUGCAAGGAAGGCAGCAGGCGCGCAAAUUACCCACUCCCGACUCGGUAGUGACAA